GGGGUGAAAGGCCAAUCAAACUGAGAGAUAGCUCGUACUCCCCGAAAUGCUUUUAGGAGCAGCGUGGAAGUUAGUUUAUCAGAGGUAGAGCUACCGAUUGGACUAGGGGGAGUCAAAUCCUACCAAAUCCAGACGAACUCCGAAUGCUGAUAAAUAUAUUCCGCAGUGAGGGCAUGGGUGCUAAGGUCCGUGUCCGAGAGGGAAAGAACCCAGACCAUCGGCUAAGGUCCCAAAAUAUACACUAAGUUGAACUAACGUGGUUCGAUUGCUUAGACAGCUAGGAUGUUGGCUUGGAAGCAGCCAUUCAUUUAAAGAGUGCGUAACAGCUCACUAGUCGAGCGGACGAGCAUGGAUAAUAAUCGGGCAUAAACAUAUUACCGAAGCUAUGGAUUUGUAUUAUAUACAAGUGGUAGGGGAGCAUUGUAACAGGGUAGAAGGUGUACUGUAAGGUAUGCUGGACUGGUUACAAAAGAAAAUGUAGGCAUAAGUAACGAUAAUGCGGGCGAGAAACCCGCACACCGAAAGACUAAGGUUUCCUCAGCUAUGCUAAUCAGCUGAGGGUUAGUCGGGUCCUAAGGCGAAUCCGAAAGGAGUAGUCGAUGGAUAACAGGUUAAUAUUCCUGUACUUCUUAUAAUUGCGAUGGGGUGACGGAGUAUUGAAAGCACCGCGUACUGACGGAAUAGUACGUUGAAGACUGUAUUUAUAGAACUUAUAGGUAAAUCCGUAAGUUUUGGAGAAGGUUGAUAGUACCAUAAAUCUUCGGAUGAGUGGAUAGUGUGCCUAAAAGCUUCCAAGAAAAACCUCUAAGCUUCAGAUUAUAAGAACCCGUACCGUAAACCGACACAGGUAGUUGGGAUGAGAAUUCUAAGGUGCUCGAGAGAUUCAUGGCUAAGGAACUAGGCAAAAUGGACCCGUAACUUCGGGAGAAGGGUCGCCCCCUUAUGGGGGGCCGCAGUGAAGAGGUCCAGGCGACUGUUUAUCAAAAACACAGGGCUCUGCCAAAUCGAAAGAUGAAGUAUAGGGCCUGACACCUGCCCGGUGC
rnacentral:rRNA from 12 species